GAAAUUUUAAUUUCUUAUUCGGUCUCGUGACUACUGUUUAUGUUGGAACCGGUGCCCUAUUGGCACUGCGUGUCGGUACCCAACCCUACUUAAUUGACAUUAAAU